rnacentral:rRNA from 1 species
AACGAACGCUGGCGGCAUGCCUAACACAUGCAAGUCGAACGAGACCUUCGGGUCUAGUGGCGCACGGGUGCGUAACGCGUGGGAACCUGCCCUUAGGUUCGGAAUAACUCCCCGAAAGGGGUGCUAAUACCGGAUAAUGUCUUCGGACCAAAGAUUUAUCGCAUUUGGAUGGGCCCGCGUUGGAUUAGCUAGUUGGUAGGGUAAAAGCCUACCAAGGCGACGAUCCAUAGCUGGUCUGAGAGGAUGAUCAGCCACACUGGGACUGAGACACGGCCCAGACUCCUACGGGAGGCAGCAGUGGGGAAUAUUGGACAAUGGGCGAAAGCCUGAUCCAGCAAUGCCGCGUGAGUGAUGAAGGCCUUAGGGUUGUAAAGCUCUGUUACCCGGGAUGAUAAUGACAGUACCGGGAGAAUAAGCUCCGGCUAACUCCGUG